UACAUGGGGUGCAAACGUUGUUCGGAAUUAUUGGGCGUAAAGCGCGCGUAGGCGGUUACUCAAGUCGGAUGUGAAAGCCCUCGGCUUAACUGAGGAAGUGCACCCGAAACUGAGUAGCUAGAGUACUAAAGAGGGUCGCGGAAUUCCCGGUGUAGAGGUGAAAUUCGUAGAUAUCGGGAGGAACACCGGUGGCGAAAGCGGCUCACUGGACCAUAACUGACGCUGAGGCGCGAAAGCUAGGGGAGCAAACAGG
rnacentral:rRNA from 1 species